UAUAUUUUAGUAUAAAUGUAUUUAAGUUUUUGAUACUUAAGGGAAUAGUUAAAUUCUAUUAAAUAUAG
rnacentral:tRNA from 1 species